GAUGAACGCUGGCGGCGUGCUUAACACAUGCAAGUCGAACGGUGAAGCUCCAGCUUGCUGGAGUGGAUCAGUGGCGAACGGGUGAGUAACACGUGAGCAACCUGCCCCUGACUCUGGGAUAACAUCCGGAAACGGCUGCUAAUACCGGAUAUGCACCAUGCACGCAUGUUCUGUGGUGGGAAAGAUUUUUCGGUUGGGGAUGGUCUCGCGGCCUAUCAGCUUGUUGGUGAGGUAAUGGCUCACCAAGGCGUCGACGGGUAGCCGGCCUGAGAGGGUGACCGGCCACACUGGGACUGAGACACGGCCCAGACUCCUACGGGAGGCAGCAGUGGGGAAUAUUGCACAAUGGGCGAAAGCCUGAUGCAGCAACGCCGCGUGAGGGAUGACGGCCUUCGGGUUGUAAACCUCUUUUAGCAGGGAAGAAGCGAGAGUGACGGUACCUGCAGAAAAAGCGCCGGCUAACUACGUG
rnacentral:rRNA from 1 species